GUGCUCGUUUCGGCAGCACAUAUACUAAAACUGGAACAAUACAGAGAAGAUUAGCAUGGCCCCUGUGCAAGGAUGACACGCAAAUUCGUGAAGCCUUCCAUAUUUAG
rnacentral:snRNA from 1 species